rnacentral:rRNA from 1 species
AGAGCGAACGCUGGCGGCAGGCUUAACACAUGCAAGUCGAGCGGGCGUAGCAAUACGUCAGCGGCAGACGGGUGAGUAACGCGUGGGAACAUACCUUUUGGUUCGGAACAACACAGGGAAACUUGUGCUAAUACCGGAUAAGCCCUUACGGGGAAAGAUUUAUCGCCGAAAGAUUGGCCCGCGUCUGAUUAGCUAGUUGGUGAGGUAACGGCUCACCAAGGCGACGAUCAGUAGCUGGUCUGAGAGGAUGAUCAGCCACAUUGGGACUGAGACACGGCCCAAACUCCUACGGGAGGCAGCAGUGGGGAAUAUUGGACAAUGGGCGCAAGCCUGAUCCAGCCAUGCCGCGUGAGUGAUGAAGGCCCUAGGGUUGUAAAGCUCUUUUGUGCGGGAAGAUAAUGACGGUACCGCAAGAAUAAGCCCCGGCUAACUUCGUGCCAGCAGCC